AAAAAGAUAAACCCUAGAUUUCUGUGUCCAACAUUUGACUGUCCGUCUUAUAUGAAAAUUUUUAUAAUUAGUAUUUUCAUUGUUAGAUAAUAAAACAUGAUUAAUACUUUGUGUGACUUAUCUUUUUAUUUUUUUCAUAGCUUUUUUAAAUAAGAAGAACAGUCAAACCUUAAAAUACAUAGGGGAAUUGCUCCUCUAGAG
rfam:Oryza barthii chromosome 2, whole genome shotgun sequence.